GGAACAGCCUGUCUCCAUCUUCCCCCAAGAACCAAGAGAUUAAAGCGGUCCUUCUGCAAGCUUCUGGGUCCAGGAACUCGGAGCUGGAAGAGCAAAUACCACGUCUGGUCUACUGAAUUGGCAAGCCUCCUGGCUCAGGCACCACUGGACUCCAAUGUUCAGAAAACGGACAGUUGCUAUGUUGUGAGUAUUCUGGCAUUGUUGAGUUGGAACCAUCUGGAAUCCUUCUGGAUACUGACUGUUGGGCCCCUUGUAGUUUCUGGAAUUUACCCGCUUCUAGGAGCCACCUCUCUCCUCUGCACACAGGAGCUCAUCUGCACUAAAGGAUUAGAAGCAAAUAGAAUCUACCCCACGAUCCAAGCUCAAAGGAUCUGGCCUGCUUGCUGGUGUCUUCCCCUGGCCUCCGCUGGGUGGUGUUUGCCUGCCCAGGUCACUGAGACCAGCAGAUCCUUCUAGGCUUUGCUGAACCUGGCUGGUAAUAACUAUCUGACCCUUCAAUUCUUCCAUACACUGAACUCGUUGCUCCAGUGAAUCCCUUUCCCAGCCCACCUUGUUUUGUCUCUGCCUUUCUGUCUCUCCCACUUUCUCACCCUUUCAUGUAAUUCAGCAACUAUUUUAAAACAAAUAGCUUUAUAUGAACAAAAGGACUAGAUCAUGAACUACACUGGUUAUUUGGAAGUCUAGGUUCUGGUCCUGCUACCCCUUUAACUUGAGUUAUUUACAAGUCUGUUUAAAAGUUUCUAGACAUACACUGGUUUGUUUUUUGUUUGGCUAUCGUUUUGUUUUUCAUUUCUAAUUGUAUUGCAUUGUGGUGAGAGAA
rnacentral:lncRNA from 1 species